GAUGAACGCUGGCGGCGUGCUUAACACAUGCAAGUCGAACGAAGCACUUAACUUGAUUUCUUCGGAUUGAUUGUUCUGUGACUGAGUGGCGGACGGGUGAGUAACGCGUGGGUAACCUGCCUCAUACAGGGGGAUAACAGUUGGAAACGACUGCUAAUACCGCAUAAGCGCACAGCAUCGCAUGAUGCAGUGUGAAAAACUCCGGUGGUAUGAGAUGGACCCGCGUCUGAUUAGCUAGUUGUGGGUAACGGCGUACCAAGGCGACGAUCAGUAGCCGACCUGAGAGGGUGACCGGCACAUUGGGACUGAGACACGGCCCAAACUCCUACGGGGAGGCAGGCAGUGGGGAAUAUUGCACAAUGGGGGAAACCCUGAUGCAGCGACGCCGCGUGAAGGAAGAAGGUUUUUCGGAUCGUAAAC
rnacentral:rRNA from 1 species